AUUUCAAAUAGGCGGAAGGGCUCCGGAAAGGUCCCUUCCUUUCCCCUCCAGCGUAGCGGUAUAGCAUGCGUCACAUGUUGUCCCCUCUAACUAGCAGAUCUUACGCGUACUCACCCGUGGAAUAGGACUCGGUUCUAUUUGUUGGUUUUCUGAACCCGAGGUAAUGACUAUAGGAACAGGCCGGGGGCAUUCGUAUUGCGACGCUAGAGGUGAAAUUCUGGACCGUCGCAAGACGAACUACUGCGAAAGCAUUUGCCAAGGAUGUUUUCAUUAAUCAAGAACGAAAGUUAGAGGUUCGAAGGCGAUCAGAUACCGCCCUAGUUCUAACCAUAAACGAUGCUGACCAGCGAUCCGCCGGCGUUAUUCCCAUGACCCGGCGGGCAGCUUCCGGGAAACCAAAGUCUUUGGGUUCCGGGGGAAGUAUGGUUGCAAAGCUGAAACUUAAAGGAAUUGACGGAAGGGCACCACCAGGAGUGGAGCCUGCGGCUUAAUUUGACUCAACACGGGGAACCUCACCAGGCCCAGACACCGGAAGGAUUGACAGAUUGAGAGCUCUUUCUCGAUUCGGUGGGUGGUGGUGCAUGGCCGUUCUUAGUUGGUGGAGCGAUUUGUCUGGUUAAUUCCGAUAACGAACGAGACUCUGGCCUACUAACUAGUCGACGGAUCUCCAGCAAUUGGUGUCCAGUUCGCAGCUUCUUCUUAGAGGGAUAAGCGGCAAUUCUAGCCGCACGAGAUUGAGCAAUAACAGGUCUGUGAUGCCCUUAGAUGUUCUGGGCCGCACGCGCGCUACACUGAAGGGAUCAACGUGUCCUCCCCCUCCGAGAGGAGCGGGUAACCCGUUGAAAUCCUUUCAUGAUAGGGAUUGGGGUUUGCAAUUGUCUCCCAUGAACGAGGAAUUCCCAGUAAGCGCAAGUCAUGAGCUUGCGUUGAUUACGUCCCUGCCCUUUGUACACACCGCCCGUCGCUACUACCGAUUGAAUGAUUUAGUGAGGCCUUCGGACUGGCGCUCUUGGAUGCCAGGCCCGCGCGGUAUUACUGCCGCCGGGCUCUCGGCGCCUCGAGCUGACGGAAAGAUGUCCAAACUUGAUCAUUUAGA
rnacentral:rRNA from 1 species